UGGCGAGGACUGCUCCUCCUUUGCCUCACUGGCCACUUUCUUGUCUUCCUCCUGGAAUCCUUCUCUCAACAGCUGACCUGAGUCUCCGAGCUGGCUGCGGACCCUCGGGGCUAGGGUGUGCACCUAGCCCUCCUUCUUCCUGGGGGCUGAGUCUGGUAGAAGAGGCACUGGUUCUCUGGUCGGCCUUAUCCUGGACCCCAUGCAGAUCUCCCUGGACGCAAGGCCUCUCCAUGCUGAGUCCCUGCAUCAGCAGCAGCCAGAGGGAGGAGGAGCUGCAGACCUGCUUCUAGCUCCAGCAGCCCCUUGCGCCAGAGCAGAGACCAUCCUAGAUUGGCUAGGUUUGGACAAAAGCAAGAUGGUGAAUGGAGCUGCCUGAAGCAUCGUGGAAGGGCUGUGAGUGGGGAAAGAUCUGUGAUGGAUUGGCAAUGUCUGCCGUGGGUGCAGCCGCUGAGAACAGAAGCAUUCAUGUCAGGUUUGCGAAGUCUGGAGAUCAUCAACAAGUCCCUUCCGUCCUCACACUCUGUGAGUUGAUGACAACAUUACAGGAGAGUAUGGGCCAGGGUCACCUUGAGAGAUUGCCUCUGAGAAAAUUCAAGACAGUCCCGGCAUGUGAAGACUUCCCUCCCGGCAGUUUCUCUAGUUCCCUCCACAUGUACCUCAGAAUGCUAAGCCUAGUGCCCCCUUUAUGCAAAGUCAGGAUCCUGUACAGUGCGUCCAGCUGUCACUUCCAACAGUGUGUUCCGUCGGGUCCUCUACCUAGAUCACAGCGCAACUCUCUGGAAGCAGAGAUGUAGUGAGCUCUGACAGGCAGUUCCCUGGCCAUGCCAUAUGUCCCCAUUGGAUGGCUGAUUCCAAGAAUACCACCCCCCUUUAUAAAUAAGAUGGUACAUUCCAACAGGGAGUCUCUUCACAGCCUGGCAUGCUGGUGGACAAUCUCCAGCCCCCAGGAGGGGCCACUCCAGCUGAGGAGAGGAGAGGAGUCUGGCCUGCAGCUGGGGUGCCCGUGGACAUCGAGAGGUUCUUGGCAGUGCUGUGGAAGGGGACAGAGGUGGUGGCUGUCCACUGGGGGUAGAGGUGGUCCUGACUGAGGCUCCAGGCUCAGCAACCACCUGGCUUCUGGCCACAUCCUACAAGUGGGUCUCCUCCCCAGUUAUGAGUCCCCUCUUUGUGGGAGAGGGCCUGCAGUCCUGGCUGGCGCCACCAUCCAGAUAGAGGUGCUGCUUGGGCUGUGGCAGGCUGGGGUCAGGGGUGACGAGCUGUCGCAGGCGCUAUGGAGAGAAGGAGGGAGUGGG